UACGGGGGGAGCAAGCGUUGUUCGGAUUUACUGGGCGUAAAGGGCGCGUAGGCGGCGCAACAAGUCACUUGUGAAAUCUCCGGGCUUAACCCGGAGCGGCCAAGUGAUACUGUCGUGCUAGAGUGCGGAAGGGGCUACUGGAAUUCUCGGUGUAGCGGUGAAAUGCGCAGAUAUCGGGAGGAACACCAGCGGCGAAGGCGGCACUCUGGGCUGGAACUGACGCUGAGGAGCGAAAGCGUGGGUAGCAAACAGG
rnacentral:rRNA from 1 species